UUUUAACAUUUCAACGAAAGAAGAAGAAUAGGAGCUACUGUACGUGAGAUUGUUUUUUUUCUUUCUUCAUCUUCUUUCAUUUUUUUCCCAUUAAAUUAGGGUUUUCGCGAAAACCCAUAGUUGAUUUUUCUUCCUACGCACUCCAAUCGCUGAAACCGAGCCAUUGUGAUACACGGUUUAUGCGAUGGACAUGACUGAUGCAGUGAUUGUGAAAUCUAGUAGGUUGAAAUCUGUUGUAUGGAAUGACUUUGACAGGAUUAAAAAAGGCGACACAUGUGUGGCUGUUUGUAGGCAUUGUAAAAAGAAGCUGAGUGGAUCAAGUACGAGUGGAACAUCACAUCUAAGGAACCAUUUAAUCAGGUGUCAGAGAAGGUCUAACCAUGGUCUAGCGCAAUACAUUACAGCGAGAGAAAAGAGAAAGGAAGGGACUCUUGCAAUUGCAAAUUUCAAUUUGGAUCAAGAUUCAAACAAAGAUGAUACCCUUAACCUUGUGAAUAUAAAAUUUGAGCAGACACAGUUGAAAGAAGAAUCUCUCAACACUGGAAGUAGUAACUUCGAUCAAAGACGUAGUCGAUUUGAUCUUGCCCGCAUGAUUAUUCUACACGGAUAUCCCUUGGCCAUGGUUGAACAUGUUGGUUUCAGAGCUUUUAUAAAAAACCUACAGCCCUUGUUUGAGCUUGUUACGUUGAAUCGGGUUGAGGCUGAUUGUAUUGAGAUAUAUGAGAAAGAGAGGAAAAAGAUGAAUGAGAUGUUGGAUAAAUUACCGGGAAAGAUCAGUCUUAGUGCUGAUGUGUGGAUUGCAACGGAUGAUGCUGAGUAUUUGUGUUUGACAUCAAAUUACAUUGAUGAAUCAUGGCAGCUAAGAAGGAGAAUAUUAAAUUUUAUACGGAUUGAUCCUUCUCAUACUCAAGACAUGCUUUCACAAGCUGUGAUGUCUUGUUUGAUGGAUUGGGAUAUUGACCGUAAAUUGUUCUCCAUGAUUUUGGACAGUUGUUCUACCUGUGAUAACAUCGCAUCUAGAAUCGGUGAGAGACUUAUGCAAAACAGGUUUCUUUAUUGUAAAGGUCAAUUAUUUGAUAUACGCUGUGUUACCGAUAUUCUUAAUGUCAUGUCUCAGAUUGCUUUGGGAGGUAUAAGCGAGAUAGUCAAUAAGAUUCGUGAAACUACUCGAUAUAUUAAAAGUUCGCAAACUGUACUGGGAAAGUUCCAUGAGAUGGCUAAAGAAGUCGGGAUCAUGACACAAAAAUGCUUAUUUCUAGAUAAUCCAAUGCAAUGGAAUUCGACAUAUUCAAUGCUUGAAGCUGCUUUAGAAUUCAAGGAUGCUUUAAUUCUUUUGAAAGAAAAUACCAAUGACUGUAAUAUCUCUUUAUCUGAAGUAGAGUGGGAAGGGCUCUCUUUAUCUGAAGUAGAGUGGGAGAGUCUCACCACAGUUACCGGCUACUUAAAGCUUUUUGUCGAGGUUAUAAAUAUUUUUACCAGGAGCAAGUAUCCAACUGCAAAUAUAUAUUUCCCUGAGCUCUGUGAUGUUAAGUUACAUUUGAUUGAAUGGUGCAAGAAUUCAGAUGUGUGUAUCAGUUCUUUGGUUUUGAAGAUGAGAAGCAAGUUUGACGAGUAUUGGGAAAAAUGUAGCUUGGGGUUGGCAGUUGCUGCCAUGUUAGACCCUCGAUUCAAGAUGAAGUUGGUCGACUAUUAUUACCCCCAAAUCUAUGGUAGCAUGUCCGCAAGUCGGAUCGAAGAGGUCUUUGAGGGGGUGAAGGAUCUUUACAGCGAACAUUCCAUAGGCUCGCCGUUAGCUUCUCAUGACCAAGGAUUAGCCUGGCAAGUUGGUAACGGUGGUAGUCCACUUUGCUUGCCGUGGUCUGCAAAGGACUCGAGAGACAGGCUGAUGGGGUUCGACAAAUUCCUCCAUGAAACUUCUCAAGGCGAAGGUGCAAAAUCAGAUCUAGAAAAGUACUUAGAAGAGCCUCUCUUUCCGCGAAACGUUGAUUUCAACAUAUUAAACUGGUGGAAAGUUCACACUCCGAGGUAUCCUGUCUUAUCCAUGAUGGCCCGGAAUGUUUUAGGAAUUCCAAUGUCAAAGGUCGCACCGGAGUUGGCGUUUAAUUAUAGCGGAAGGACCCUUGACCGUGAUUGGAGCUCACUUAAUCCGGCUACUGUCCAAGCUUUGGUGUGUUCACAGGAUUGGAUACGGAGUGAACUGGAAAACUAGAGUUUUUGCUUUUCCCUUGCAUUCUAACUGUACAUGCCAAUUCUCCCCUUAGACAUAUCACCAUUUAUCUAUUUGGGCAAGAGAAGUGGUAAAUAUUUUGUCGGUAUAAAACGGCCAUGUUUGUGGAAUAUAAGGGGUAAAGACCCUUCACGCCGCGAGCAUCGCGAACAUGAUGCCAACAUAUAGAAAUAGCCUAGUAGCAUAAAUUGACUAUCUUUCAAGUAGUUUAUUUUUGGACAGACUGAUGAUGUUAUAAGACUAAAAUUUUAGCAUUGGGUUUGUUUUUUAUAUGCAAGAAGAUUUUACAUCCUUGGUGUAUGUUGCAAGGAUUCAAAAAGUACUUGUUAUCUAAUUGAAUAUAAUUAAGAAUGAGAAAAUAACCGUAA